rnacentral:rRNA from 1 species
AGAGUUUGAUCAUGGCUCAGGAUGAACGCUAGCUACAGGCUUAACACAUGCAAGUCGAGGGGCAGCAUUUUAGUUUGCUUGCAAACUAAAGAUGGCGACCGGCGCACGGGUGAGUAACACGUAUCCAACCUGCCGAUAACUCGGGGAUAGCCUUUCGAAAGAAAGAUUAAUAUCCGAUAGCAUAUUGAGAUCGCAUGAUUUUGAUAUUAAAGAAUUUCGGUUAUCGAUGGGGAUGCGUUCCAUUAGUUUGUUGGCGGGGUAACGGCCCACAAGACUACGAUGGAUAGGGGUUCUGAGAGGAAGGUCCCCCANAUUGGAACUGAGACACGGUCCAAACUCCUACGGGAGGCA